AAAAAAAAAAAAGAAAAAAAAAACCCGGAAGUAAGCUCGAACCGAAACACCGUAUAUUCGUCUCGUCUUGUGGCUGAAAGUGCCUCCUCACCUGGCCAACUCAACAAUGGGCCUGAGGCGUUGUCGAGUUUGCCACAUCAAUCAAACCUGCAGUAAGGCUGUCUACUGGAAUCGGCAGAGGAAGGUAGUUGGCAACCCUGGAGAGUGAACACAUGAAUUAAAUGGCUCGUCUUUACCAAGCACAAGAAUGCAGUCUUAAGGGAUUAACCUUGUUGGUGGUUUUGGACCUCCAGAAGAGUUUACCCAGAUCUUGCCUGAUACACUCCAACAUGAUGUGACCCGUGCCCUGGCCCUGCUCAGUGCUGCUCACCACCAACUUAUCAAGGGCAAACCAAAGGAAUCAUCCCGCAGUUCAGACUCCAUUGGAGAAGACUGGUAUCAACGGUUACAGAUGGUAGAGCGCUAGGAAGAAAAGAAGAAAAGAUGUGAGAAAGAAGAAAAAUAAAGAAUUUAUACAAUUCUU